CCCUUAGACGUUCUGGGCCGCACGCGCGCUACACUGACCAGUGCAACAAGCAUCCGUCCUUGGCCGACAGGCCCGGGCAAUCUUUGAACGCUGGUCGUGAUGGGGAUAGACUUUUGCAAUUUUUGGUCUUCAACGAGGAAUUCCUAGUAAACGCAAGUCAUCAACUUGCAUUGAUUACGUCCCUGCCCUUUGUACACACCGCCCGUCGCACCUACCGAUUGAAUGGUCCGGUGAAGCGCUCGGACCGCGGCCUCUUGACGGUUUUCCGUCGAUUGGCUGUGGGAAGUUCGUUAAACCUUAUCAUUUAGAGGAAGGAGAAGUCGUAACA
rnacentral:rRNA from 1 species